CCUUUGGCUGGAAGCAUCGUCAAGACGCCAGCAUCAGACCCUUGCCAGCCGUGCCUUGAAACCCAGAUUACUGUCAUUAGAAUAUCGGGCCUUGCUUUGUUCAUCUGCCUUUGCCUUUUGGAAGACAACCUGGUACAGAACUUUGCACUUGUCCCUGUUGAAUUUCAUUCUGUUGUUUACAGCCCAAUGCUCCAUGACAGAUGCGUAUAGAUUAUGCAUGGUCUGAAGAAGGUGGAUAGGCUCCCUAUCUCAUAACACUAGAACCCAGUUGGGCCAUCCAAUGAAACUGAAUGUUGGAAGAUUCCAAGCAGAUGAAAGACUUCUUCUCUACACAGUGCAUAGCUGAACUAUGGAAAUCACUAUCACAAGAUGCCGUGAUCACCACCAACUAAGAGCAGUAGGAAGAAACGCUACACCUCCCAACUUCAAGGCUUUAUUCAUCCCGAUGAGACUUUCCCUGCUGGCUGGCUGGCUGGCUGCUGUAUUGUGAUGUCAUAAAGGACCACUCAUCACAACUUCUCAUUGGCCAACAACUGAAGAUCUUUCGUCAAGGCUCAAAGUGCUGAACCUAUGCAGAGAGAAGUAUGCACCGCUGAGUUCAAUGGACUUUAUUUAUUUAUGGGUCAAGACAGCUGCCUGCUAACGUGAUGACCUCCUAUACUUUACACCUUUUCUCCCAUUAAAUAAAAGGAGCUCCAUACCUUUUC